UGGGGAAUAUUGCGCAAUGGGCGAAAGCCUGACGCAGCGACGCCGCGUGGGGGAUGACGGCCUUCGGGUUGUAAACCUCUUUCAGCAGGGACGAAGCGCAAGUGACGGUACCUGCAGAAGAAGCACCGGCCAACUACGUGCCAGCAGCCGCGGUAAUACGUAGGGUGCAAGCGUUGUCCGGAAUUAUUGGGCGUAAAGAGCUCGUAGGCGGUUUGUUGCGUCGGCUGUGAAAUCCCGAGGCUCAACCUCGGGUCUGCAGUCGAUACGAGCAAACUAGAGUGUUGCAGGGGGGACUGGAAUUCCUGGUGUAGCGGUGAAAUGCGCAGAUAUCAGGAGGAACACCGGUGGCGAAGGCGGGUCUCUGGGCAACAACUGACGCUGAGGAGCGAAAGCGUGGGGAGCGAACAGG
rnacentral:rRNA from 1 species